rnacentral:rRNA from 1 species
AUACGGAGGAUGCGAGCGUUAUCCGGAUUUAUUGGGUUUAAAGGGAGCGUAGGCGGGAGCUUAAGUCAGCGGUUAAAUGGUGCGGCUCAACCGUGCCCUGCCGUUGAAACUGGGUUUCUUGAGAGUGCAAGAGGCGGAUGGAAUUCAUGGGGGAGCGGGGUAAUGCUUAGAUAUCAUGAAGAACUCCGAUUGCGAAGGCAGUCCGCUGGGGCACGUCUGACGCUGAUGCUCGAAGGUGCGGGAAUCAAACAGGAUUAGAUACCCUGGUAGUCCGCACGGUAAACGAUGAUUACCCGCUGUCGGCGGCAGACAGUCGGCGGCCAAGCGAAAGCGAUAAGUAAUCCACCUGGGGAGUACGCCGGCAACGGUGAAACUCAAAUGAAUUGACGGGG